rnacentral:rRNA from 1 species
AAUCAACGCUGGCGGCGUGCCUAACACAUGCAAGUCGAACGCGAAAGGGGAGCAAUCCCUGAGUAGAGUGGCAAACGGGUGAGUAACACGUGGGUGACCUGCCUUCGAGUGGGGGAUAACGUCCCGAAAGGGACGCUAAUACCGCAUGACAUCCUGCUUCUGGAGAAGCGGAGAUCAAAGCUGGGGAUCGUAAGACCUGG